rnacentral:lncRNA from 1 species
AGAAGACGAAAAACAAUGGUGGGGAACUUGCGCAAUAAUUGUGGAGAAAAUUGACCAGCCAUCCGAUCCAUUCAAUUUUAAAAGGAAGGAAAGCACGAGAGAAGAGGGGCAAUAAAAUAUGUUUCUGACUAACCCCUGGGAAAAGAGGAAAAAAGAGGGCUGCUCCUCUCAGCUCCCUCACGCAGGGUCUUUCCCCUUUUUUUCAACACUUCAACUCCUUUUCUUCCUCUCGGCAACUCCUUGAUCCUCCACCAUUUUCAGCAGCUCCAUCUUCCACCCGUGACAGCCACCACACGACAGCCCUCAAACCUCCACAAAACAGCCUCACAACAUACUUGUAACAACCCCGAAAUCAGCACAGAAACAGCCCACAAAACCACCUCCAAACAACCAUGAAAACUCCAACCACAACACCUAAAACAGCCCCCCCAAACCAGAAAAGCUUAAGCUAUAAUGUAUUUGGUACCGUGAUAGCUUUUGUGGUUGUGGUUUGAAAAAAAUCAUUUUAUAAAAAAUACUUUUGAUUAAGGUUGGUUUGAUAUUUAUAUAUGUUCG